rnacentral:rRNA from 1 species
CCUACGGGAGGCAGCAGUGAGGAAUAUUGGUCAAUGGACGAGAGUCUGAACCAGCCACGUAGCGUGAAGGAUGACUGCCCUAGGGGUGGUAAACUUCUUUUAUAAAGGAAUAAAACGAGGCACGUGUGCCUUUUUGCAUGUACUUUAUGAAUAAGGAUCGGCUCACUCCGUGCCAGCAGCCGCGGUAAUACGGAGGAUCCGAGCGUUAUACGGAUUUAUUGGGUUUAAAGGGAGCGUAGAUGGGUUGUUAAGUCAGUUGUGAAAGUUUGCGGCUCAACCGUAAAAUUGCAAUUGAUACUGGCAGUCUUGAGUACAGUUGAGGUAGGCGGAAUUCGUGGUGUAGCGGUGAAAUGCUUAGAUAUCACGAAGAACCCCGAUUGCGAAGGCAGCUUACUAAACUGUGACUGACAUUGAUGCACGAAAGUGUGGGUAUCAAACAGGAUUAGAUACCCCGGUAGUC